ensembl:lncRNA
AAAUGGCCAAGGGUGAAGCAGGUGGGUGGGGAAGAAGGGCAAAAAUCACCGUGGUGAAAAUAGCUCUGGUUUCAGAAUUGGACCAUCACGGAGAUCCUGAUAAGGAAUACAGAACUAAUAAGCCACCACCAACCGGAAGAGUUCGGGAAAGGUCUAAAGGAGACACCACGUGUCCGUCCACUUCCCAGAAUCCCUCUCGCUGGCAUCCAUCUUGGCUGAGUGAUGCAUGCACCACCAGGAAAGACUCUGAAUUAGAAUGAUUGGUCAAAGACCACCCAGAAACUAAUCCCAUCACCCUAAAACCCGACAUUGUGAGCCACGCGGCAGAGCAGUUCUCCUGGGUUCCCUGACCCUACUGCUCUC